AAAAGAAUUACUGUCUAUUUUAUAAAAAUUGAAUUUAACUUUUAAGUGAAAAGGCUUAAAUAUUUUAAUGGGACGAUAAGACCCUAUAAAGCUUUAUAAUAAAAUAUUAAUUUUUGAAAUAAAUUUAUAAAGAAAAUAUAUUAUUUUUUUAUUUUAUUGGGGCGAUUCUGAUAAAAAUAUAAUUAACUGUCAUAAUUAAAUACAUAUAUCUAUGAAAUUUUAAUGAUCCUAAUUAAAGAUUAAAAGACCAAGUUACUUUAGGGAUAACAGCGUUAUUUCUUUUAAGAGUUCUUAUUGAAAAAGAAGAUUGCGACCUCGAUGUUGAAUUAAAAUAUCUUCACAGUGUAGCCGUUGUGAGAGAGGGUCUGUUCGMCCUU
rnacentral:rRNA from 1 species